GGUAGCACAGAGAGCUUGCUCUCGGGUGACGAGCGGCGGACGGGUGAGUAAUGUCUGGGAAACUGCCUGAUGGAGGGGGAUAACUACUGGAAACGGUAGCUAAUACCGCAUAACGUCGCAAGACCAAAGAGGGGGACCUUCGGGCCUCUUGCCAUCAGAUGUGCCCAGAUGGGAUUAGCUAGUAGGUGGGGUAAUGGCUCACCUAGGCGACGAUCCCUAGCUGGUCUGAGAGGAUGACCAGCCACACUGGAACUGAGACACGGUCCAGACUCCUACGGGAGGCAGCAGUGGGGAAUAUUGCACAAUGGGCGCAAGCCUGAUGCAGCCAUGCCGCGUGUAUGAAGAAGGCCUUCGGGUUGUAAAGUACUUUCAGCGAGGAGGAAGGCGUUGAGGUUAAUAACCUUGGUGAUUGACGUUACUCGCAGAAGAAGCACCGGCUAACUCCGUGCCAGCAGCCGCGGUAAUACGGAGGGUGCAAGCGUUAAUCGGAAUUACUGGGCGUAAAGCGCACGCAGGCGGUCUGUCAAGUCGGAUGUGAAAUCCCCGGGCUCAACCUGGGAACUGCAUUCGAAACUGGCAGGCUAGAGUCUUGUAGAGGGGGGUAGAAUUCCAGGUGUAGCGGUGAAAUGCGUAGAGAUCUGGAGGAAUACCGGUGGCGAAGGCGGCCCCCUGGACAAAGACUGACGCUCAGGUGCGAAAGCGUGGGGAGCAAACAGGAUUAGAUACCCUGGUAGUCCACGCCGUAAACGAUGUCGACUUGGAGGUUGUUCCCUUGAGGAGUGGCUUCCGGAGCUAACGCGUUAAGUCGACCGCCUGGGGAGUACGGCCGCAAGGUUAAAACUCAAAUGAAUUGACGGGGGCCCGCACAAGCGGUGGAGCAUGUGGUUUAAUUCGAUGCAACGCGAAGAACCUUACCUACUCUUGACAUCCACGGAAUUUAGCAGAGAUGCUUUAGUGCCUUCGGGAACCGUGAGACAGGUGCUGCAUGGCUGUCGUCAGCUCGUGUUGUGAAAUGUUGGGUUAAGUCCCGCAACGAGCGCAACCCUUAUCCUUUGUUGCCAGCGGUUCGGCCGGGAACUCAAAGGAGACUGCCAGUGAUAAACUGGAGGAAGGUGGGGAUGACGUCAAGUCAUCAUGGCCCUUACGAGUAGGGCUACACACGUGCUACAAUGGCGUAUACAAAGAGAAGCGACCUCGCGAGAGCAAGCGGACCUCAUAAAGUACGUCGUAGUCCGGAUUGGAGUCUGCAACUCGACUCCAUGAAGUCGGAAUCGCUAGUAAUCGUAGAUCAGAAUGCUACGGUGAAUACGUUCCCGGGCCUUGUACACACCGCCCGUCACACCAUGGGAGUGGGUUGCAAAAGAAGUAGGUAGCUUAA
rnacentral:rRNA from 1 species